rnacentral:lncRNA from 1 species
AUGGGCAAUUUUACUUUGGUCCUUUCUGACAUUUUCUUGUUUCACCAACGAAAAUUUUCAAGAGAAAAAUUGAUACUUGAAAUGAUCACUAUCACUUUUUUCGUUUUUAGUCUUAAAUCAAAAACAAUCACUACCAGCCUCUUAAAACUUACUGCUCUAAAUUUUGAUGUAAUUCUACAAGCCCUUAAUAUGUUUUUCUAUUAAUAACUACCCUCC